CCUACGGGUGGCAGCAGUGGGGAAUAUUGCACAAUGGGCGAAAGCCUGAUGCAGCAACGCCGCGUGAGCGAUGACGGCCUUCGGGUUGUAAAGCUCUGUCUUCAGGGAAGAUAAUGACGGUACUUGAGGAGGAAGCCACGGCUAACUACGUGCCAGCAGCCGCGGUAAUACGUAGGCGGCUAGCGUUAUCCGGAUUUACUGGGCGUAAAGGGGGCGUAGGGGGUUUUUUAAGUGCGAAGUGAAAAGCUAAGGCUAAACGUGAGUGAAGCCUUUGAAACUGGAAGCCUUGAGUGCAGGAGAGGAGAGUGGAAUUCGUAGUGUAGCGGUGAAAUGCGUAGAUAUUAGGAAGAACACCAGUUGCGAAGGCGGCUCUCUGGACUGUAACUGACACUGAGGCUCGAAAGCGUGGGGAGCAAACAGGAUUAGAUACCCCAGUAGUC
rnacentral:rRNA from 1 species